rnacentral:rRNA from 1 species
UAGGGAAUCUUCGGCAAUGGACGGAAGUCUGACCGAGCAACGCCGCGUGAGUGAAGAAGGUUUUCGGAUCGUAAAGCUCUGUUGUAAGAGAAGAACGAGUGUGAGAGUGGAAAGUUCACACUGUGACGGUAUCUUACCAGAAAGGGACGGCUAACUACGUGCCAGCAGCCGCGGUAAUACGUAGGUCCCGAGCGUUGUCCGGAUUUAUUGGGCGUAAAGCGAGCGCAGGCGGUUAGAUAAGUCUGAAGUUAAAGGCUGUGGCUUAACCAUAGUAGGCUUUGGAAACUGUUUAACUUGAGUGCAAGAGGGGAGAGUGGAAUUCCAUGUGUAGCGGUGAAAUGCGUAGAUAUAUGGAGGAACACCGGUGGCGAAAGCGGCUCUCUGGCUUGUAACUGACGCUGAGGCUCGAAAGCGUGGGGAGCAAACAGGAUUAGAUACCCUGGUAGUCCACGCUGUAAACGAUGAGUGCUAGGUGUUAGACCCUUUCCGGGGUUUAGUGCCAUAGCUAACGCAUUAAGCACUCCGCCUGGGGAGUACGACCGCAAGGUUG